GAUGAAGAACGUAGCGAAAUGCGAUAAGUAAUGUGAAUUGCAGAAUUCAGUGAAUCAUCGAAUCUUUGAACGCACAUUGCGCCCGCCAGCAUUCUGGCGGGCAUGCCUGUCCGAGCGUCAUUUCAACCCUCGCGCCCCCCCGGGGGCCGCGGUGUUGGGGACCGGCACCCGGCCGCAAACCCCCUCGCGGGGCCGGCCCGCCGCCCCCUAAAUGCAGUGGCGGUCACGCUGCGGCGUCCCUUGCGUAGUACCACACCUCGCACCGGACCCCGGCGCGGCCACGCCGUGAAACCCCCGACUCUCUGAGUUUGACCUCGGAUCAGGUAGGAAUACCCGCUGAACUUAAGCAUAUCAAUAAGCGGAGGGA
rnacentral:misc_RNA from 1 species